rnacentral:other from 1 species
UAGCCCCUGCGAUGUGCGUGAUUAACAUUUGUUUUUGAGCCAACAUUUUUGACCUUGGGACCUUAUCCUUGAUUGCGGUGUGCAUGUCCGCAUUUUCCUGAGCUGGUCGGGAAGCAGAAAGCCUGAAGCAACCAAUACCGGUACCCACCUUGUAAAAAGGUUCAAAAAGGUGAUUAACACGGCAUAGGCGGGGGUCUU